rnacentral:rRNA from 1 species
GACGAACCGUGCGAACGUUGUUCGGAAUUACUGGGCGUAAAGGGCCAGUAGGCGGCCAACUAAGUCGGAUGUGAAAUCCCCAGGCUCAACUUGGGAACUGCAUCCGAUACUGGAUGGCUUGAAUUCGGGAGAGGGAUGCAGAAUUCCAGGUGUAGCGGUGAAAUGCGUAGAUAUCUGGAGGAAUACCGGUGGCGAAGGCGGCAUCCUGGACCGACAUUGACGCUGAACGGCGAAAGCUAGGGGAGCAAACGGG